GAUGAACGCUGGCGGCGUGCCUAAUACAUGCAAGUCGAGCGAACGGACGAGAAGCUUGCUUCUCUGAUGUUAGCGGCGGACGGGUGAGUAACACGUGGAUAACCUACCUAUAAGACUGGGAUAACUUCGGGAAACCGGAGCUAAUCCCGGAUGAUAUUUUGAACCGCAUGGUUCAAAAGUGAAGGACGGUCUUGCUGUCACUUAUAGAUGGAUCCGCGCUGCAUUAGCUAGUUGGUAAGGUAACGGCUUACCAAGGCAACGAUGCAUAGCCGACCUGAGAGGGGGGUCGGCCACACUGGAACUUAGACACGGUCCAGACUCCUACGGGAGGCAGCAGUAGGGAAUCUUCCGCAAUAGGCGAAAGCCUGACGGAGCAACGGCGCGUGAGUGAUGAAGGUCUUCGGAUCGUAAAACUCUGUUAUUAGGGAAGAACAUAUGUGUAAGUAACUGUGCACAUCUUGACGGUACCUAAUCAGAAAGCCACGGCUAACUACGUG
rnacentral:rRNA from 1 species